rnacentral:lncRNA from 1 species
AGAUAUUGAUGAGUGCAGCAAUGGAGACAAUCUCUGUCAGCGAAACGCAGACUGUAUCAACAGUCCUGGGAGUUAUCGCUGUGAAUGUGCUGCAGGUUUCAAACUUUCACCUAAUGGUGCCUGUAUUGAUCGCAACGAAUGUUUGGAAAUUCCUAAUGUUUGCAGUCAUGGCAUGUGUGUGGACAAGCAAGGAGGUUACCAGUGCAUCUGUCACAAUGGUUUUAAGGCGUCCCAAGACCAAACCAUGUGCAUGGAUGUUGAUGAAUGUGAACGCCAUCCAUGUGGAAAUGGAACUUGUAAAAACACAGUUGGAUCAUAUAACUGUCUGUGUUACCCAGGAUUUGAGCUCACUCAUAAUAAUGACUGUAUGGGUAAGUACUUUAAUCCAAACUUUAA